ACUUUGGGGACAGGCUUAAAAAGAAUAGAGCACAAACAGGCUGAGCUGCAUAUUUGAUUACAGCCUCUAUACUCUGCUCUACCAAGCAUCGCAGAGGAGAGGAGAAAACUGAAGAAAAGAAAACCAAUACCGUUAAUUGGAGAAAGAAAUACAGAUAUAAGAGCAGUUAUGGAAUUACAGAAUAUGCAUAAGGUGAGAAAAAUGGCAAGGGAUUGCAGAAAUGAGAAAACCUGCCAGGGUUUUGCAUGUGUUAUGCUUUAAUUGCAUAUUUUCCCUGUAACUUCAUUGUUAUGACUCAGAUCACCUGAGCCUAGUUUGACUAAAGAAGCUCUAAAUGCUGAGAGGGCAACCCAAAAAAAUGCUGAACAUACACACAGAAGAUUGUCAGAGUAUCAUCGCAUGGCAUGAACUUCUUUGUAGCCGUGUCAAGACAGAUGACACCAGAUGACAAACACUUCAACUUACAACCAUCAGAGUUAUUAUGUAACGCACCAAGCUUUCCUCUUGAGUUACCCUCUUGCCACAACAAAUCCGGCUUGUUUAAUAGGGUUUAUGAAUCUGUCAGCAAACCGAGAAUCACAAGUUUUUAAGCCAUGAGAUGGGUCGGCGCAAAACACAGACCUAAUAUGAAUGAACAGAAAGGAUUAUCUGGGCUUACUGGGCGACGGGCUAAAGACGAGACAGAUCGCGUGUGUGACAGUCAUGGUGGUCUCAGUCUUAUCACAGGGGUGUCAGACAUGAAAUAAAGAUCCUUUGGGGAAUACUUAAGAUGCCAAGAGGAACAAUCUCUUCUCAUAGUUACAUCUAACUGACCUGAAGUGUGCAAACAACUCACAAGGCAUUAUCAUAGACUGUAUAUACUACGGACAACUUGGUUCCGCCUUCGCCAGUAUACGGAUUUCACGCCGAAAAACUAGGUAUUUUCGCGAUUUUUCUUCACUUUAUGAAACCAACAUUGCACAGUAGCAUUGCAUGCAUUCAGUGGGAGAGUCGCUGUGAUGACGCUUGGCUCAAAUGGCGUAUCCCCUGGGUGAGCUACACAAGCUUCUUACGCCCAUAGGCUGUAUCAAAUGUCAAUCAUAGAAAACAUGAACCCCCUGUACAGAAAAAAAAAAAAAAAGAAUUGGUAUUUUGGUGAGUGCUGCAGCCCGGCGUAAGUAUCCCCCUUCCCUGACUCUGCUCCUUCCAGCGGCAUAAGUGGCAGAGAGGGAGGGGAUAAGGUGUGAAGUGGGUUUAACACAGCCGAGUCCUGUUGACAGCAAGACAGCAAUGAUGAUGACAGAAGGCGGCCCCUCAACAAGUGUCACUGUAAGCGCUGCGGCGAGCAUGAAAAUGUCACUGCGUCAGCUGAUUCUGUUGACACCUCCCCCUACGGCACCAUCAUGCCCUGCUUGGUGGACCUCAGUGUGCCUCAGUCUACAAAAAUACCAAACUGGCUGUUUGCCGGGCUCCACCAGAUGAAAAUACCACUGCGUGGGGUGCGCCACCCUUCGCUGCGCCGCCAGCGGGCAUGAAAAUAGAACCCUACAUGUCAACAUCGCAAGCAGGGGGGAGGAAAAUUUAUAUUCUGUGUAAUACAUUUCGUAAGUUUGUCCACAGCUUUAUAAGCUUUGCUGGAGGAGGCAGGAUUUAUGACCUAUACUGCAGCUCGUCACCAGAGGGUGCUGUUCUCGAGGUGGCUUCACCCAGCAAGGAGGCAGACGGCGUCCAUUCUAUAUACAGUCUAUGGUCAUUAUCUGUAUUUCUUGCAUCGACCAAACUGCUUCAAGUUCAUGAUGGCUACACUGGCUUCCUCAAUUUGGAUCUAUAGUGCAGCAAUUUCAAGGAAUAAAGAUUUAAAAAUGGGUAAAAGACAUGCAAUCUGUAUUUGUGACGUAUUAGUGUGGCAUGACUAGUGUGGCAAAAUAAGAAAAGUCAUGCAGUUUUGAAGUUGGUUCAUGGUGGAAAAACAACGUAUAAAUUAGCAUCUCUGAGUAAUAAGCACUAUAGGAAAUCGUGAUAUGCUAACAGACAACUUCACCUUCACAAGGACAGGCUGAUCCGGCUUCUAAAUAAGCAGCCAAACUGCCCCCCCUCCCUGCUCUUUUCGGUUCCUUUUAACUUGCUCUGAGGCUUUACUGAAAGUAUCGGGUAAAUUUAUUGAGAAUGUUUGCCUUUGAUUCAGCUGUGUGUGAGUGGGUGCGCGUGUGUGUGUGUUACAUUAUAAUCAUGCCUCAGAAGUUGCCGCAGUGGCAGCAGAAGCCAUAGACACAGGCAGAACAAGCCCCAUAAAGGGGUCCAAAUGGGAAGCCCUGAGGAGGUAUUGAUGUGUUGCUUUACCCAAAGGCCUCUCACCCAGGUAGGAAGGUGGCACGCCAAGCUCAGCAGUUAACCACAGUUUGAACUCAGGCAGAGACAAAGUCAAUAAAUCAGCAGCGGCAUCUCCUGUGAAGGAGACUGGCAGCUGUACUUCUCUUCACCUUGACAGAUAAAUGACGUGGCUCAACUAUCCCUUAAUCUUUUCUUUACCUCGAUAAUCCCCCCUCCCCACCUUUUGUUUUGUUUGUCUCUUGCUGUGAAUCUCACUUGGACUCUACGAGUUUCUCUUGCAACUUCUUUCUCCUCUCUUUUACUUCCAUUCCUAAUAAUUCUCUCCGAUCUGUCCUCUCAUCCUUUGGUUAUUUGAGGACAUGGCACAGCUUUAUGUCUCAGGCCACUAAAGGACUUUUAGAAGUCAGUGAGAGGGAAACUGACAUGGGAUCCCUGGGUUUCUACAAACACAGAUUCAUUCACACACAGCCGUGUUAAGCUCCUACAUUCUCCACAAAGAGCUUCACUCCCACAAGGCAAGACGCCACAGAGUAAAAAACAAAGAAAUGGAAUGUUUUCUCUCCGUCCUCCCCUUUCCUUCCCCUCCACUCCUCGCCUCCCCCUGCUGUAGUCUUCAGUAGCUCUCUGCAGUGCAGUACAAACAUGCAGAGUGAUCAAAGAGACCAGGGUGUCAGAAGCCGGGGACAAGACGGACGUGUGUGGAAGACAAGAUGAGAGACAGCAGCAGGAAGAGAGAGCUGUCAAUCAGACUUUCAAUCACACUUGGUGGAAGUUUGUAUCUCAGUGGCAUGACAGGGGACUUCUGAGCUUACCUGGAGGACCAUCAGUGUCCUAUCAUACCGCCUGUUUUGAUGAAACUGGCUGUUUUUCUUCAUGCCUGUAUGUCAUACGACAAAUGUGAACAAAUAUCCAAAUCAAUAAACAAUAACAGUGAGACAUGUCAUUGAUGCAUUCUGUUUUAAAACCUACAUAAAACAUUAAAAAGUGAUAACUAAUUGACGGAUUAAAAGUGUGUUUGUUUCUUGUUGAUCAGAAAUGCAUUAAUUUGGAUAUAUGGUAUAAAAUAGGAAAAUAAAUAUCUUUAAGCUGUUUUUAAUUGAAUAAUUAAGAAAUAUAAAGUUAAAACUGAUGGGUCACUGAAGAAAAAUAUUUUAUUUGGUAAACUUUGCUUGAUUUACUAACGCAGUCUGUAAACCCUUAAAGAGAAUUUCCAUGAUUUUAUUUAUUUAUUUAUUUCUAAAUAAAGAGAAAUACAUGUUAAUAUCCAAAUGACAGGUUUUUUUUUAGUAGCUUUCUCCUGUCUGACUCAUGGAGUCACAGCACCCUCUUCAGGAUCCAGAGAGAAGUACAUUUUCUGAAGUCCUUAUAAAACAGUUUUGUGUGUGGGUGUUUCUACGUGUGGAGAAACAAAAACAAAGGAAGACAGUUACAGGGCUUUUUUUAAACCAAAGUUGAUCUUUAUUUGGCAAACUUAAAAAAGAGGGAGAUCAUUUAUCCUGAACAACAAACAAUCAAUGUAUUUACAUGUUUUGUAUUAUCAAAUACACCUUUGAUACCAAAUACAUGAAAUUGUAACAGACAUGAUACUUGAUUUCACCUUCUCCUCUGGAUUAUUGAUCUAAAGCAUCAGUAUUCUUCUUGUCUCUGUCUCUAUCUCACUAUUUCUCUGGCCAUUGAGGGAAAGCCUGUCUGGGCUGGAAGUAAAAUCUCAAUAUCUGUGGGUUACUGUUUACCUGUACUGAUUCAGGGUGUCAAUAAUGUGGAAACACUUUAGCCUAGCAAGACACUGCCUUCUCAAUCAUCUAUUUUUUCACUCAUCAACAGUAAAACACUUACUACAACAUUUAAUUUUCGAGAAUUGAUAUUGAAUGAUCAUAUUCACAGAAAAUGUACACAACAAAAGUGCACCUUACAGUUUUUCUUCCCUUGAAGUGAUGUACUGUGGCUCACUUUAUAAAGGUUGUUCCUUUUUUACCUGAAGUGUCCUAAAUCUGAGUCUAGCCUCAAAGAUCAACACCGACAG
rnacentral:lncRNA from 1 species